GAUGAACGUUGGCGGCAUGGAUUAGGCAUGCAAGUCGAGCGAGAAGAGUUUUGAAGCUUGCUUUAGAACUCGGACAGCGGCGAAAGGGAGAGUAACGCGUAGUUAUGUGCCCUAGGGUCCGGAAUAGCCACGGGAAACUGUGGGUAAUGCCGGAUAAUAUCCCCGGAUCAAAGGUGUGAUUCCGCCCUAGGAGCAGACUGCGUCCUACUAGCUAGUUGGUGGGGUAAUGGCCCACCAAGGCAAUGAUGGGUAGCGGGUGUGAGAGCAUGACCCGUCUCACUGGGACUGAGGCACUGCCCAGACACCUACGGGUGGCUGCAGUCGAGAAUCUUCGGCAAUGGGCGAAAGCCUGACCGAGCGAUGCCGCGUGCGGGAUGAAGGCCCUCGGGUUGUAAACCGCUGUCGUAGGGGAGGAAGGUUCCGUGAAGAGCGGGACUUGACCUAUCCUAGGAGGAAGUACGGGCUAAGUUCGUGCCAGCAGCCGCAGUAA
rnacentral:rRNA from 1 species